CAUGUAGGCGGAUUAAUAAGUUUGAAGUGAAAUCCUAUAGCUUAACUAUAGAACUGCUUUGAAAACUGUUAAUCUAGAAUGUGGGAGAGGUAGAUGGAAUUUCUGGUGUAGGGGUAAAAUCCGUAGAGAUCAGAAGGAAUACCGAUUGCGAAGGCGAUCUACUGGAACACUAUUGACGCUGAGAUGCGAAAGCGUGGGGAGCAAACA
rnacentral:rRNA from 1 species